GAGGAAAAGUCCGAGGCGCAGUCCGGGUGCAAUUAAAAGGAACUUAUCCAGUGAAGAAAUGGCAAGACCCAGGCGUUCCACACCAACUCCAGAACUUACAAGCAAAAAGCCUACAGAUGACACGAUGGCCCUUGCUCCCCUCUUUGGUCCACCAUUAGAAUCAGCUUUUGAGGAACAGAAGA